UCCCAUAUGUUUUAGCUUUGUGGAAAUGCCAUACUGUGUGAUUAGCAUGUAUGCUUUGCCAGAAGGACGACCCACGAUAGAGCAGGUAUGCGCACACUUCUCACACCUAACCAUAAUUCCUAUACCAACUCUUCAUGUAAAUGGCACACAAAUAUCACUUCAUAUUUGACAGUAACAUUUCCCAAGUAGUAUUGGAACAGAUGCUAAUAAGUGGAUCUGGAGGCUAUUUUGUGAACAGACCAAAAAAAUCCUCUGAACUGGCUUACCCAGCUAGUGAGUGAUGAUGGUGAGGGGCUCUCUGUAGGCCACAUGUCAUGAUUUUUUAUUUCCACGUACCUUCAACUGGGGCAUGUUCAGAAUGGAACUUGUAGGACCUGACAGUAUGUACCAUCAAGGAAUUUGAACAUCACUGUCAGCGAUGCUGUUGUAAGGCUCUUUCAAAACAGCCACUGUGAACCCUGUUAUCUUCUCUCUCAUUGUAUCUCAGUAACAAUAUAUCCAAAACACAAACAAGAAGUUCAAUCCUUGUUACAGUAGCCACUCAAAAUUUCAAAGUAUAUACUAAUCACCUCCUAAGCCAAAGUCCUAAAGACAACUGCAGGCUCUGCUCCUAGCCUUUUUUACAGCAUGUUGUGUUAGUUGAUAACUGCCUCCCUAAAAUUGUUUAAAUUAAUCCCAGAUGGUCUGGACUCUUGUCAAAGCUCCUGUUAUCAGGAACUGCCAGUUUUGCAGACCCAGGCUCUUCAUGGAUCAAAAGGAAGGAAUGGAAAUGCUACUGCUUUUUUCAGGGCCUGGCCAAGGUAAAAUCCCAGUUCAUGGCUCAGAACCACUCAAAGAUGAAAAAAUAAACACCCUAAAUAAAGAAGGCUGAAGUUCAUAUCCACAGGAAUAAAAUGCUGAAGAGAUUAUUAACACAGAAGAGGAAAGGGGAGUCUUUCUCCAGUUGUUGAGCAGGAUGGAUGGAUUCGGGAGUGCCAGUAAGCAGGAGGAAGAAAGGCUCUUUCCAUACCAAGAAAACAUUUUCAGAAGUAUCUAAGAGAUGGCGGUACCUACAAUACCUUUGCCAAGUUCUCUACAGCAGAAACCCUAUCAAGAGUAUGAUUCCAAAGUCACUUAAAGGCAUAUUAUUUUCAAUACAAAUUUGCUUGUUCUGAGUAUUGGAAGAAAUGUAAAUGCCUCUCCUAGGGUAGACUUGUGCAUUGCCUGCCACAUCUGAUAGCCCGUGGUGCAAACCGCAGGGUUGGCUCCCAUGACUUGAAACAUUCACACACUCCAAAUGAGGGGGAUGCAUUCCCAGCUCUGGGGUACGGUUGGAAUGAACAGAGGCAGGUUUUAUCUAGGAACUGGUAAUGGACAAAACUUUCACUCUGUAUAGUUUUGAAUUAGAAAAAGGAUAGCUAAAAUACAAAAUAAAAUACAAAAUAUAUAAAAUAUAUUGUUGACAGUGGACAACCACAACACCUUAUUGCCAGUGUUAAAUAUUUGUCUGCUAACUUGUGUCAAUACAUCAACUUCAAAUGUCAAUAAAUAGAAAUCAUUCUAGACAGUCUAGAAACUAAGAAUCUGCAGAUAGAUUUCCUGGUGUUAGAUCCUUCUGGUGUUAUAGGAUACCACUGACUUUGAAGCAAAUCUGUUUGCUGCUUCAGGCUUAGGAACUAAAAACACUUGAAUUGUUUAUUCUCAGUUCUAACCUUGAAGUAAUCUCAGUCUGGCAUAUCAGCAACACUUCUGCCCCACCAGAUAUAAGCUUUUAGAAAGAAUAAUUCAUCCAGUAACUUAGAAAAUUCAAUAAGUACCCAAACUGGGUACUUAAAUUGUAAGUAAAUGAGAAAAAAAUGCAAGUUACGCAAAAAGUUUCUUAAUAAGGACGCUCUUGGUGCAAAUGUGGUUUAUGAGUUGAGUCAAAUUGAAAUUGAACAAAAAAACUCUUAGGCUAUAAUCACGGGAAUCAGACUGUGACCCUAUGACUCUAGAUAUUUAGGGCAACAUACAGUUUCAUUGGAUUUUUUUGGAUAAUCACCACUGGCACUGCUCUCAAAAUGCAAUAGCAUACUGAGGGUACACCUAAAAUGGAUUUUUAUAAUCACAGGGAAAAGGACUGUCCUCUCAAGUAUUAACUUUCAAAUCAUUACCGUGCACACUAGAAAUGAUCAGAUGUCAGGUGCGGAGUCUGAAAGGCUUAUUCUUUGAAAAUAACAAUCAGAAAACUUGUCUCCUGCUUGAAGUUUUGAAGUGAACAGAAAUCCUGUUCUUACACAGUUAAGAGAAUUUGUUGUAAAACUACACCCUGGUUGUUCCACCGUUUUAUUCUACUGUAGCUAUUACUGCUUUUACUGUUGUAUGUUUUAUGGAGCAUAUAGGGAAUAUUUAGUAUUCAUUGUUAAGCAUUUAUGUUGACACAGUGGAAAAGUCAUAUGUUUUUAGUUUUUUUCCUGUUUUCAGAGCUUGUUAAAAAACAAUUUUGCUGCAUUCUUCAUCAUAUCAAAGAAAAAAAAUCUUAAUUUUUAUAGCACAUCAUGACAUUUUGCCUUCAUGGCACAGCAAUUAUUUAAUCUUUGGAAAGGAUUGCAGGAAAUAUGUAAAAGACUGUAGCAAGCAUAAACCUUUUGUUAUGUGCUCUGUCUUGUGCAGACAGACUUCCUGCUGGAGGCAGAAUCAGCAGAAGAGGUGUCAUACGGGAGCUGCUUGGCAUCCAAGCCCAUACUCAGACUCUCUCUGAACUUCACUUCCCCUGAUCUGCAGCCCUAAAUUACUUAUCUGCUUAAUCUCACAUCCAGUAAACUAAAAAAAUAUAAACACUCAUUUCAAAACCACACACACUCUUCCCAGUGCAAAGAUGCUGAGCUGAUGAACCAAACUUCUAGAAAAUUCCAAAUAAGACAUUUCUACAGCUAGCUCAUAUGUAGACAAUAAAAUUCAUUUUAAACAAGUCAAAGUUUGUAAGAAGAUGCAAUAUCUCCUAUUAGACUAACUGAUAACAUCUGUAAGACAAAAAAAGAAGACUUCUGAUACUGAGUCAUAGAAUAUCUUAUGUACCUGACAUCUUGUGUGGUUUUUACGGGUAUGUAGAUUGUUCUUAUAAUAAAAAUGUGGAUUCUUUUAACAUCAAACCCUUCCAUGCUAUAGAUUAUCACAGUUAGAGAAACACCUUUAAUACAAACAUAUAUUAAAAUUAGCUGAAACUUUCUAUUCUUCAGAAAAUUCAUAAAGCAGUAAGAGUUUUGCAAGUUUUGUUAUAACAAGGAGUGAAUCCACAGCUGGAAAAGAGGCACAGAAGCUGCUUCAUUCCUGAACUGAUUUUGGCUUUGUUUAUUUGCCUAUCUGUAGUAAUCUUGAAAUCUUGAUCUCUAACUGAAAACUGAAGUAUUUAUCUCAAAUUCAGCUCCUAUGAUGGUCAGCUCUUUAGUACCAGACACUGCACUGCCCCUGUUGUUUUGCAGUGCUUCUGAGUCAUAUUCUUCGACAAGGAACAGAAAAAGCCUUGGGGUACGACCACCAGGAACACUUUCUGCUCUCUGUGCUAAUGGAAGUGAUUGUUGGCUCUAGGGCUCUUCUAAGGAUUCAUGCACAGUAUGUUUACUCCAUGGUCCCAUUAGACAGCAGAGAUUGUGCAUUUUAUAGUAUUACCUUUGUUUAUACUGAAUAAUAGCUCCUGAUGUAAAGAGAUUAUGUAGUUGCAGUGUUAAACUGAGACUAGAGUAACUACUUAAUGGAUAGUUUUCCACAGAGGUCAUCAACAGUUACGUGCCAAACUCUUCUAUUUAAGAUUAUUUCAAAAUCAUAGACAAUACAAAUAGAUUAGGAUUUCUUCAAGCUAGGAAAUUUUUGAAGCUAUGUACUACGUUAUGGUUCCUUAGUUCUCCUGCUCAUCCACCUUAGUAUGCAGUUGUUGUUGUAUAAUAAGACAAUGUGCAAGUUUGGGCAUUACAGCAGGGGCUGGAUGCUAUGUUCCUGCCUUGAUCAUGCCUGGUGUCCUUCAUUACUUAUUUCAAAGUAACUGCAGAAAUGAUAAUAGCUGCACUGGCUUGAGAACCUAACCAGGGAAACUUUGCCCUGUUAACAUCAUUUCUGGAAGGUAAACUUUUUUUCUUUUUUUCAUUUGCAACAUAUUUGUUACAGAGAAAACGCUGUAAGCUCUUUGGGGCAAAGAAUGUCUUUUGGAUCCGUGUUGAAUGUAACAUCUACUGAAAUGGAUUUAGUCAACUACAAUUUAUCUCAUCAGUUCAAAGUAUGAUUUCAGACAGAGUGAAACAACAGACUGAAUGACCACAGGCCAGGCCUACAGGGAACAUGACUUCUUCCUCAGAGGCUCAAAUUCCUGUAUGGUGAGCAUCCAGAUUUAAUUUACCUUUUCUUAGUCUCUAGAAUGCUUUGGGAAGCAGAAAUGUGAGCUGGCCAAAGGGCUCAAUUCUCAUUCUCUUCAAAACAAUUCUUAUAGGAAAAAACUCACAGAAUGGUUUAUUAAACAGCAUUUUGGUGCCAAAGGGAUUAAGUAGUUUUCUUUCAGCGAGAAAUAAAACCUACCAAAGAAAUCUGAAUAUGAGGAACCACAAAUAGAUAGUAUUUGCCCACUGGCAGUUUGAGAGCUGUAUUUUAACAUUAGCAGAUGAUUUCUGUAAAAAUUUUUAGACAGGCAGUCUAUGGGAAAAUAGCAGUCACUUUUUAAAGCAACAGAGAGAAAAAUCACAAAGCCAUUUGUAUACUUACAGCAUUCAAUAUUUAACACUGUACAAGCGUGUGUGAAAUAAUCACAUGCUAAUACAGCUAUAGUUUGAUUCUAAAUCCCUCCCUUUCUAGUACUAUUGUUCAGACAUGAUGUGUGUCAUGUCUUAUCACAUCAUUCUGGAUUAUUGUAGCUCAGAGUUAUUACAUCACUGCUGACAUAACAUGAUAUGACCUGACAGGUCUGAGAUGAUCUCAUGUGAUUCCAUGUUUAUCACGAAGAUCAUUUUGCAUUGAUUAACAUUGUUUUAAGUCAUUUAAGGUCAGUGCUUAUUUUAUAUGCAUAUUUUUAAAAAAAAAUCUUGAAGGAAUAAACCCCAUUUCAAACAUCACAUGCAAAGAGCAGAGAGUUCAUGAGGUUCUUUGAAAGAAAUGACACCUUUUGUGGUGCUCCAGUUAUGAGAGUGGGAAAAGUCCAUGCAGUGAAAAGAAACCAAAAUCAAAUAUUGCUCACCACAGCUAAUCCUGAUCAUGUACCUCCACAUACUCCAGCAGCUGUUCACCACCCAGAGCAGAGGUAUCCCCAGCCCACCUGUUACGCAGGUGCUGCAGCAAUACUGCGCUCCAGGUGAGCCCUCACAUAAGUGGUCCCAGGACUACAGUGCCAUGUCUGAGCUCCUCAUACAACAAAGUAAAUCAUCUGUAUUUAUAUCUGACACUUCUAAUACUCACUGCUGUCACAUACAGUAUUCACAAAAUCUAACCAUUUAAUCUUUCUAGACCAAUUCCUACCUUGCACUCUGUAGCUUAGAAAUGAAGGAGAUGUUAACAGUAGAAAUUUUUACUCUCCAAAAGACUAAAACUCUUUUCUUUCCUCAUUUUUGGGGGGAAUUGCAAGGACCUGUUGUAAUAAAUGUUUUCCAUUCACCUUGCGGUGAGAUUUAACUAACCGAACUAUAAUGCUUUUGUCUGUACCUGAAAUAGGAUCUAUACUCUAUUUUUGAUCACUGGAGAGAAACAGACAUUUUAUAUGUGAUAUUAUCUAAUUCAGGUAUUGCCUGAAGUUCAAAUGAUUCAUAUCUCAAAAUGGCCUGUUUAUUUCCCCCAGUGAUCUAGAGACUCUAGACAAUCAGUCAGCUCUAAUGUUGACUUCCAUUUAGAAGUUAGGUCAAAUGAGCCGCAUCCUUAGGGUCCAAAAGAUAUAUAAAAAAUGCAAUGUACCGAAUAAUGUUGGCAAAAAAUAAAAAAGAGUUUAACAGGAAGAUGCCUAUAAUUGUCAGCUCUGUGGUAUGUGUUCUUCCUUUCUUUUCUGCAGAUGUAUACACAAUUAGAGUUUGCAGCCAGGAGCUAUUAUAAGUCAGAGUAGUGCUUUCCCAGUUUCUCCCCAAGCAAAUAUCUCUUAUGAUUUGAAUGGAUCUUGUGUCUGAACUGGGACCAUGGAACUGUGUUCAGUAUUUGUGUUUUGCCGUAGGGUUUCAUUCUUUGCCUGUACUCAAUGACAAACUCAAAGAGAUUUGCACCAGUUAUUUUAAAAUAGUAGCAUUCCAAUGAAAAUAAAACAGACCCUACAAAAUCUACAUUCUGUUAUUCCUUCUGAAUGCUAAACUAA